AUGAACGCUAGCUACAGGCUUAACACAUGCAAGUCGAGGGGCAUCAGGAAGAAAGCUUGCUUUCUUUGCUGGCGACCGGCGCACGGGUGAGUAACACGUAUCCAACCUGCCCUUUACUCGGGGAUAGCCUUUCGAAAGAAAGAUUAAUACCCGAUGGCAUAAUGAUUCCGCAUGGUUUCAUUAUUAAAGGAUUCCGGUAAAGGAUGGGGAUGCGUUCCAUUAGGUUGUUGGUGAGGUAACGGCUCACCAAGCCUUCGAUGGAUAGGGGUUCUGAGAGGAAGGUCCCCCACAUUGGAACUGAGACACGGUCCAAACUCCUACGGGAGGCAGCAGUGAGGAAUAUUGGUCAAUGGGCGCUAGCCUGAACCAGCCAAGUAGCGUGAAGGAUGAAGGCUCUAUGGGUCGUAAACUUCUUUUAUAUAAGAAUAAAGUGCAGUAUGUAUACUGUUUUGUAUGUAUUAUAUGAAUAAGGAUCGGCUAACUCCGUGCCAGCAGCCGCGGUAAUACGGAGGAUCCGAGCGUUAUCCGGAUUUAUUGGGUUUAAAGGGAGCGUAGGUGGACUGGUAAGUCAGUUGUGAAAGUUUGCGGCUCAACCGUAAAAUUGCAGUUGAUACUGUCAGUCUUGAGUACAGUAGAGGUGGGCGGAAUUCGUGGUGUAGCGGUGAAAUGCUUAGAUAUCACGAAGAACUCCGAUUGCGAAGGCAGCUCACUGGACUGCAACUGACACUGAUGCUCGAAAGUGUGGGUAUCAAACAGGAUUAGAUACCCUGGUAGUCCACACAGUAAACGAUGAAUACUCGCUGUUUGCGAUAUACAGUAAGCGGCCAAGCGAAAGCAUUAAGUAUUCCACCUGGGGAGUACGCCGGCAACGGUGAAACUCAAAGGAAUUGACGGGGGCCCGCACAAGCGGUGGAGUAUGUGGUUUAAUUCGACGCAACGCGAAGAACCUUACCAAGUCUUGACAUCCCUUGACGAACAUAGAAAUAUGUUUUCUCUUCGGAGCAAGGAGACAGGUGGUGCAUGGUUGUCGUCAGCUCGUGUCGUGAGAUGUUGGGUUAAGUCCCGCAACGAGCGCAACCCCUAUUGUUAGUUGCUACGCAAGAGCACUCUAGCGAGACUGCCGUUGACAAAACGGAGGAAGGUGGGGAUGACGUCAAAUCAGCACGGCCCUUACGUCCGGGGCUACACACGUGUUACAAUGGGGGGUACAGAAGGCAGCUAGCGGGUGACCGUAUGCUAAUCCCAAAAUCCUCUCUCAGUUCGGAUCGAAGUCUGCAACCCGACUUCGUGAAGCUGGAUUCGCUAGUAAUCGCGCAUCAGCCACGGCGCGGUGAAUACGUUCCCGGGCCUUGUACACACCGCCCGUCAAGCCAUGGGAGCCGGGGGUACCUGAAGUACGUAACCGCAAGGAUCGUCCUAGGGUAAAACUGGUGACUGGGGCU
rnacentral:rRNA from 1 species